UACGUAGGGACCAAGCGUUGUUCGGAUUUACUGGGCGUAAAGGGCGCGUAGGCGGUGUUGUAAGUCACUUGUGAAAUCUCUGAGCUUAACUCAGAACGGCCAAGUGAUACUGCAGCACUAGAGUGCAGAAGGGGCAAUCGGAAUUCUUGGUGUAGCGGUGAAAUGCGUAGAUAUCAAGAGGAACACCUGAGGUGAAGACGGGUUGCUGGGCUGACACUGACGCUGAGGCGCGAAAGCUAGGGGAGCAAACAGG
rnacentral:rRNA from 1 species